rnacentral:tRNA from 1 species
AUCUUUCUAGUAUUAAACAGUACAAGUGACUUCCAAUCAUUUGGUCUUGGUGAAAAAUCCAGGGAAAGGUA